rnacentral:rRNA from 1 species
UCGAGUUGCUCGGGGGAUUUGUAGCUGGCCGGUUAAAUCUGGCAUGUGCUCGUCCUUCAUCCAUCUCAAACCCUUCUAUGUGCACUUUAUAGAAAAAGGGGCAAAGGUUCUGGUGGGUUUGACCGCCGGCGGCCUUUCCUUUUUCCUUACACACAAACGCAUCAGUCUAUUAGAAUGUCUUUGGGUAUAUCGGAAAUAAAAUACAACUUUCAACAACGGAUCUCUUGGCUCUCGCAUCGAUGAAGAACGCAGCGAAAUGCGAUAAGUAAUGUGAAUUGCAGAAUUCAGUGAAUCAUCGAAUCUUUGAACGCACCUUGCGCUCCUUGGUAUUCCGAGGAGCAUGCCUGUUUGAGUGUCAUGAACAUCUCAACCUUGAUGGCUUUUGUAAGCCGUCAAGGAUUGGAACGUUGAGGGUUGCUGGCCUCGCGGUCGGCUCUCUUGGAAUGUAUUAGCUCGGCCUUUAAUCAGGGUCAGAUCACAGUGUGAUAAGCUCUUUUUGCGCUGUGUAAGACCACUGUUCGUCCGGCUUCUAAUCGUCUUCGGACAGCCCUUUUGAACCUCUGACCUCAAAUCAGGUAGGACUACCCGCUGAACUUAAGCUAUAAAA